rnacentral:lncRNA from 1 species
CGCAGCCCCACUGGGCUUCUCUUCCCACGCUCUAGGCACCACAGGGCCAGGCGAAUCUCUUUGGCUCGGGUUAAUGAGCAUCUGCCAGUUGGGGAUGCAAAAGCCCAGUAAAUUUGUUUUUCUGGAUAUCUCAAUGCGGCCAUCGGCCCGCGCGCCCGGCCCAAUGCGGCCUCCUGUUCCUCUUUGUCCAUAUCUCAACUUGGCAGGCAAAAUCCCUUGCCCAGCAACGCGCCUUCAGCAGCCUCCCCCCAACCCCCGUAUUUAUUUAUUCUCUACCCUGCUCCUCCCAGCAGCUAGAGGAGGAAGCGAUUAGAAGAAGGUUCAAUAGAACAAGAAAAGAUGAACCCUUUUGGGGAGAAAGGGAUUUUUUUCCCCCUCAAAGAAUGCGGACCGUGGAAGGCAGAAUCAGAGGUUUGAAUAGAAGCUCCUAAGAGGCUGCAUUGCUGCUGGAGCAGGUUAAUGACUCAUUCAACCGCCACGCUAGAGAAGAUCCAGCUACAACCAGCACAGGAAGUGACUACAGUCCAGCUCCAGCCCCUGACAGGACAAGUCCCCAGUUGUAGUGGAGGAGCCGUGGCUGCAGAGGCUCCAAACCUGCUGGUGGUUCAGAGUGGGGCAGCUGAAGAGUUGCUGACUGGCCCUGGACCUGGGGAAGUGGAGACAGUGAGGUCAGCGCUGGGAUAGUCCAGGAUGUCCUGUUUGAGACACUGCAGACAGAUGAGGGGCUGCAGCGUUGCUGGUGCUGAGUGGAGCAGAUGGGGAGCAGACUAGGCUCUGUGUGCAGGAGGUGGAAACGCUUUCGCCUGGACUGACAGAGCCAGCUGCCACCGGCCCAUCAGGAUAGAAACUCCUCGUUAUUCACAGCGUCCCAGCUGCUGACCUGGAAAGCAGCAGCACUGCAGGAUGCACCACAACACUGUGACUUCUGGCCCCACCGGCACCUGGCCCGGUCUCUGCCCCCGGUAGCUCCCCCGUUCCAGAUGGUACAAGUGGCCCCUGCAGUGGCUGGACCAAGCAAGGGUCAUGCCUCCCCAGAACUUGCCCUCCAUCCAGAUUGUGCUGACUCUGCCUGCAGUCCAAUUGGUACACAUGUUUCGAAGAGACCCACUGGUACCUCUGUCACAGACCCUCUCCCCUUGAAAUUAACUGUUCACCUCAGCUGGGCUGGGGUCAGCCCCAGAGUCAAGGGGGCUUCUGGCUGAACUUGCUAAUAAAGACCCAG